GAAUUUGGAGACCAGACAUGAUGGAGAAAGGAGAUAGAGAGAGGGUGUUGGUCUUUAGCCAUGGGUGAAGAACAUCGGGCCUCAUUUGCACCAGGCGGUGGCUGACGAUGACACCAGCAUUGAAGAGGCACCUACAAAAGCUGCAGGGUAUCAGAGGAAAGGGCUAACCGCUGAGAGGCCAUUUUAUUGUCCUGAUGGGAAAACUGAGGCAGAGAACAUUAAUGGAUCAUGAAAAGAAGUGAAUUUAUCCAAACCUUCAUAGAAAUCACGUUGCCAUCAAAGAUUUUGAAGCAAGGCUUGGACUUCAAAUGAUAACAGUAUGGGUAAAGAUAUGAGAAGAGGACAUUCCAGGAUGAGGACAUGUAUGAGAAAAGGGGUGGAGAAAGGUAAGGAAUUUGAUGAUGUUCAUUAAAAGCUAUUGUAAAGUCUAUAGUCAUCACAUUAAUCAGAACUCUUGUGUUAAUAAGGGACAGUGUUUUAAGCCAAAAAGGAAAUUUAUUACCUCAUCUUACAAGAAAAUUCAAGCUUUGGCUUCAGGCAUUGGUGCAUCCAGGUGAUCAAAGAAUGUUAUCAGAAAUAUUUUUCUUUAAUCUUUCAUACUGUUUCUUUUGUGUUGGCAUUUUUUCAAGUAAUCUUUUCUUCAGGCAAAAAUGACCACCAAUAAUUUCAUCUUAAAUCCUAAUAGCUUAACAAUAUAAAUAAAUUGAUAUCAAUUCUUUCCUAAUAGCUACAGAAAAAUUUCAAAAGGUUUCUGCUAGUCAGAUGUACUAGUUAACCUAUUGCUUCCUAACCAAUCACCCUAAAACUCAUCAUUUAGGACAAUGAUAUUUCAUUAUUGCUCAUGAGUCUGCAGGUGGGACUAGUGGUUCUGAUAGUCUCAGUGGGGCUCAUUGGUGCAUCUGAAGUCAGCUGUGGGACAGCUGGCUGCUGAUCUCGUCUGGGCUCUCAACUUGUUUGGGCAACGGCAGACUGGUUGUUCUAGAGUAACGUUAGCUAGAACAACCAGGCUCUCCUCCUGUGUCUCUCACCCUCCAAAAACUUAGCCCAGACUUUUCUCAUGGCAGUUGCAUGGUUCUAAGAGAGAGGGUGGAAAUACACAAGUCAAAUUGAAGUCAAUACUUAGAAUUAGUACAUUACUUCUGCUGCAAUGUAUUUGUCCUGUUAAGUCACAAAGCCAGUCCAUAUUGAAAGGACUGGGAGGAACUGGGAAGAGGUUUAAAGUCACAUUGCAAGGGCAUGGAUACAGGGAAGGUGAAAAAUUGAGAUCAUUUUUACAAUCAAUCUCAUACUGGACUUAGGUCAGAGUCCUAUCAUUAAAUUAGUUACUAUGAACCAGGUGUGAACAGAAAGCUUAGCAGUAAUGGUUUCUAAGGGAAAAGUGAAGGGCUGUUCCCAUAAGAAGUGAUGAUUAGAAAGCAAACUCAGCCGUUUUCCACUACAUGGGAUAUACAAGCAGGAAGUCAGUUUGUCAUAGUGUUUUAGAGCAUAAGGUUUUGAUUCAGACUGUUGAUAUUGGAAUCAUAACCCUGCCACUUCCUCUGUGUGUUUAAAACAUUACCUAACCUCCCAUAACCCAGUUUUCUCAUCUGUAGGAUAGAAAUAAUCACAGUUCUUCUCUCCUGGAGGUCUUUUAAGGAUUAAAUCAGACAAUACAAGUUAAGUGCUUUCAAGGGAACCUGGUACUUAGUAAAUGUUCACUAAAUCUUAGCUGUUUUGUAUUAUUAUUUGGCAAAAGUCAAGUUGUGAAAUAUUAUGACAAAAAGAGCCACCUAUCAGGAACAUGAUUUAAAGGAGAAAGCUUGACUUUCUUUACAAUGAUGGAGUGAGAUUCCUCCCUUUCAUUUCCACUAUACUUGCCUUACUGAAUUCAGUUUCUAGUAUCGUAUUAGAGCCCCAGGGGGAAAAUACCCUUCCAUAAAGAAAUUUAGGUAAAUUUCAGGCUUAAGAAAACAAAAGCUAUAAAUAUGAGUUUGUAGCAAGGACACAAAACUGUGUCAGCAUGGUUCCAGGGUAGUAUGGAGUUCAUCAUCAAUUAUUAAACAAGGUCAAUAUUUGUGGCA